rnacentral:lncRNA from 1 species
UCUUUCUGCAUUGUUUUUUCGGUAUUCUGGUUAUCGGUUAUUUGAUUAUACUAAACUAUCAUUUGUUUAAGUGUCAUUUGAAUUAAUCUAUGAAUAUGAAAUGAGAUGUUGGUAUGCUUUACUAGUUGCUUGGAUGAUAAGAGUCUAAAUAAAUGAAAGCUUACUGAGCAUCCUGAGAAAUGGUGGACGGACCCAGUACAUAAGGAACCCUACUGUGAACAUUACCUCAGU